UACGGAGGGUGCAAACGUUGCUCGGAAUCAUUGGGCGUAAAGCGCACGUAGGCGGCUUGGCAAGUCGGAUGUGAAAUCCCUCGGCUCAACCAAGGAAGUGCAUCCGAAACUGCUAAGCUUGAGUACUUAAGAGGAUCGCGGAAUUCCCGGUGUAGAGGUGAAAUUCGUAGAUAUCGGGAGGAACACCAGUGGCGAAGGCGGCGAUCUGGGAAGAUACUGACGCUGAGGUGCGAAAGCGUGGGGAGCAAACAGG
rnacentral:rRNA from 1 species